AGAUAAACUCUCAUCGAAUCAAACACAACCAAACUAAGAAUAGAAACCCUCAUUAGCAAUUUGGUUUCAUCAAGAGUACGUUUCAAUAUUCACACAAAAGCAAGAUGUCUUGCAAAGGUAAAAGUUCAUGGCCCGAGUUGGUACGCAGCUAUGGCGUGUCUGCUGCAGCGACAAUCGAACGCGAAAAUCCAAACGUCAAUGCAGUUCUGGUGCCGGAAGGAUCAAUUGUAACCAUGGAUUUCAGGUGCGAUAGGGUUAGGGUCUGGAUCAAUUCAGCUGGAAGAGUUUACCAGACACCAACAAUUGGGUAAAGAAACUUCAUGUUUUACAUGAUAAUAAAAUGUGAAUUGAUCACGGCCUUCCUGUCUAGGAUUUUUUAUAUCAUAUAGUCGGUGUAAUAACUAUGUAUGUACGUAGCACUGCCUCUCUUUUUCGUUCAUGGAAGAAGACAAAAGUACUUAUAGCAAUAUAGUUGUUGUAUUAAAUAAAUAAAGGUCGAUCAAGUUCAUUCUCCAUUCA